GUCUUCUGGUCAAGUUUGCUUUCCUUUCUUUGACUGGAAUGGCUGUUCACCUUUGAGCUGAUGCAUUGGGAGUGCCAUUAUACUUUUUAUUUGUCCUAUGACUGCUGACUCCUUUGUGGAGACUUAUGUCACUCCACCCCCCCAUGGUUAUGGAGUCCUCUGGAUUGGGGGAUCGUUAUGGACAUUAAGUACACCAUCUGGUUUGGUUGCCCUGAUUGCGGCUUACACACAAGCUCCAUGGGGAUGAUCUAGGCGCUCUGUGUCUGGAAAGGGG